UCACAAAUAUAUACUAAUUCCAAUUGAGCUGAACAAAGUGUAUAUAUAUUUUUAAAAAUUAAUUGUUUUAACGUUGUAAAAAUGUCAAUACCGGGUACAUUGGAAGUAUCCGCUGUCUGAACAGUUGGUGGUGGAGCUACAGGUGCAGGGGGUGGUUGCACAGCUACCCGCUGUGCUGGAACCAUGAGUUCCACUUGUUGAACAACAGUUUGGUGAAUCUUAGAGUUAAGAUAUAGAGCAGGUGGUGGAUUGUAUGUUGCGUUUGUGUAUAUCUGGGGACAUAUGUUUUUUGGUUAGUCAAAAACAAAAAUAAACUAAAUAAAAUGGAGAUGGAAGUGAAACAUACAGUAGAUGAAUGAAAAUCCAUUGACCUCUGUUGAUGAGGAGGAGGAUUUAGAGAAACUAAAGUAGUUUUUGAUGGCUGAGCAUUGGUUACUGGAGCUGGAGUAAAAGAUGGCUGCAGAAACAAAAAAUAAUUGUAAUCAAGGUUGGUCCAAGAAACUGAUUCAUUGUUGCUGAAAGCCAAAAUGUUCAUGAAACCUGGAGAGCUGGCUGAGCUUGGUUAUAUGGACUGAUAAGAAGGUUUGGCUGCGUCUGAGUUGGCUCCUGAUAAACACUUUGAGAAAACUGUUCCCUCAAUAUUGAAAGUUCAGAUGAGAAAUCAUCAGGCUCAAGAAGUUUUAAGAACUUUAUAGCCGUUGCAAGAAGUCCUUGGCUGGCCAAUAUCUCAGCAUAACUCUCAAAGAGUUUGUAUAAAGAGCCACUGAAUCUCUUGUUCUCGGUUGCCAAAGCAAGGACAACAGUCUUCUCCAUAAGAUCCUAUUUAGAAAAGAAAAUAAUGUUGAGCAGAGAAGUCCAAAUUCAAUGUUUAUGCAAGAUAUAAAAUUCAACACCAUCGUUCACCGUAGAUUUGAAAGAUGAAUGAUUGGUUAUGAUCCUCUGACAGACCCCUGGGGAGUAAGCUCGUCGGAGCUUCCAAAAAUCAGUGCCUUGAAGCUCUUUCAUCAGCCGGGAAAAGUGUUGUUCCCUCACUGCUUCUAAAUCUUUCCCUGCUUUCUCCAGAACCUCUUCUUUGUUGUCUUUACUGAGUCUCCCACAUAAAAAAAAAACAUUAUCACCCAAAACAAAACAGAGCAUAAGAGUUUGAUGCUGUUACCUGUGAACUUGAAAGAUGACUUUUUUGCUGUUCAUAGUGAUAUCACGACUUACCUUCACCACUCUCUCUCUCUCUCUCUCGUUUCUCAUUCUACAAAAGAGACCACAUUGUGAGGUUUACUAAACAAAGAUACACAAACCCACUAUUAGCAGAUGAAGAAUCAGAGUUUCCAAAUUGAAAGUUCAUUCCUUUAGUCUCUACCUCAAUCAUCUCUACCAAUAAGACUCAAACCCACUCUCAGCAGAAGAAGAAUCAAAGUUUCCAUAUCGAAAGAUCGUUCCUUUAACCUUUGACCUCCUAUAAGACUCAAUCCCUAGACGCAAAGGUUCAAUCUUUCACGUCGGAAACAAAAACCCAUAAAGCAUCGAGCUUUUCUACAUGGAAGAGAGGAAAGAAGACUUACGAAGUUGUUGAGAUAAUCAGCGUAUAGAAAGAAAGCAUCUUUCAUUGAGGAUUCGGUAGUCAUCGUCCUUGCUUUCUUAACCAAUUGCUCAGCAUCAGUCUCUGCAACUACACAAACAUCCAAACCCUCAAAUCAUACAUAAUAUGGUGUUGAGAAAGACGAUAGAUGAACGUAGGAUUACAUACUUUGAUGGAGUCGCUGAGGUUUUAACUUGGGAGGCAUGAAUUUGUAAAUAUCUUCAAUUAAAAGCUAAUUUGCAGGGAUUUGUAACGAUGAAAACAAAGUGAAGAAUUGGAGACGACAUAUUACUUUGGUUUAAAAGCAACUCAGAAGCAGGCUGACCCAUCAACCGAAAAGCCCAUUUUUUCUUUGGACAAAUGCGGUAAUGACAUGGCAGAACAUAACUUUUUCAUUGGUUGAUUAUUUUUUCUGAUGUGGAGGACCUCUCUAUUGAGUAUAUUUGGCUUUUAGUAUUGUUAGAUCAGAUGGCAAAAAAAAAAAAAUUAGUAACUGAUAACAUAGGUCUUAGGCACAGUGUUCAAAAGUAUUUAACUGUUAAAAUGAAAAAAUGAGAUAAGGAAAUAAAAUAAAAUAAAAUGGUUGGAGAUACUCUCUUUUUUUUUGGAUUGAUUUAUUUUAUUUAUCACUGAAAUUCAUUAGAUAAUUAAAUUUUGCUAAAAUAUUAAUCUUAUAUUUAUUAGGUAUACAUAACUAAUGAUAAAUUGAUAAUGCUCUAUUGAAAGGGCCCAUAUAUAUGUCUCACUUCAUUCAUUUUGACUUUAGUUAGCUAAGAACAUUACAAGAAAAGGAAAACAAUCUGUUAAGAACUGUAUUCGACUUUUAACACCAGUCUCAUGAACUCUGGCUUUCCCAAGAUUGCUUGGCUCUGAAGCUUUCUAAGGCAACUGCUGAUACUCCUGAGAAUUCAAAGACCCAAAAAAAUAAAGAAGAGAACAAAUAAAGACAGUGAAUGAGAAUAUAUACUAUUUUUUUGCUUUAUAGCUCACCGACUCAAAGCACUAAGUACAUAACACAAGAAAGGUGAUGCCUUAACUCUACCUAAAUUCCUGUGAUUUUAUAUCUAAAAAUCCCACAUAAUCCCACCUUUUUCAUCGAACAUUUUGCCUUCCUUUAAUCAUUUGUUUAAGUGGUAGGAGCCAGAAGUUGCAUUCGUCCCAUUCGGUGGACGCCAUAUGCGUCUGUUUUGCACAAAACAAAAGACAAAGUUGCGUUUCUUCAACAUUUUUAGAAUACAUAACGUGAAAGACUACCAAAAUAAAAUAAAAUUGUACCUGUAUUUGUAAAGCUGCAUUAAAGUCCUGUUUGUCUAGAGCUUGACAUAGCAGAGAGAGUUUUUCUGCAGCGUGCUUUGAGAUGUCCUCAUUAUUGAGUUUCGCAAACAGAGAUCCUACUUUUUUUGAGAUACCUUCUAUAUCACGCUUCUUGGCAGGACCUAAUGUGUCUGAUGUCUCUUUAAAAAGCCUUGUCAAUGUAGCCACAAUAGGUUUCUGGUGGGCUGGAACAUUCCAUAACAACAUAAAGAAAACAACUGACUUUAGUUAUAACAAUCUAUACAGAACAAAGGCAGGUCACAAAUAUAUACUAAUUCCAAUUGAGCUGAACAAAGUGUAUAUAUAUUUUUAAAAAUUAAUUGUUUUAACGUUGUAAAAAUGUCAAUACCGGGUACAUUGGAAGUAUCCGCUGUCUGAACAGUUGGUGGUGGAGCUACAGGUGCAGGGGGUGGUUGCACAGCUACCCGCUGUGCUGGAACCAUGAGUUCCACUUGUUGAACAACAGUUUGGUGAAUCUUAGAGUUAAGA
rnacentral:lncRNA from 1 species